rnacentral:lncRNA from 1 species
AAUCAGUAUUAUAAAGUAUACGGCUUUGUGUAAUUAUUGAAGUGGGCGAUAUAUCUGCUUGGUCGUUUCAAAAAUUUCUAAAGUGUGUACAGAAGAUGUAUGGUGAUCCUGCGAUUAAUUUCCAACGAACGUUUUUUCUAGAAUAAACGGUACGAUGAGAGAUUGAAAAAGAGGAUACUCCAAGUAACUCCAAUAUCACGAAGAAUCCUAACCAAAAAAAAAAAAAAAAGAAAUCUUUAAAAGAAGACGAAAAAUAUGGAAGAAAGAAAAUAAUUCGGGAAAAACUAUUUUUCCCGAACUGUAUAACAACGUAACAAAGCCUUUCGCUCGUUAAAUCCCCUCCAUCUUUAAUGACAAUUUUCCUCGUUGCUUCGAGGUUAUGUCGCGAAGAAGCGCGAGAAAAUAUCAGAGCCACCACCCUAGGCCAGACGCGGAAGUGCGCACAACUGUUCACGCGGAAGCCAGACCUGUUCACGGCAAAGAAAUUUGUCAAUGAGGUGAUGUUGUACAAUAGAGGACAGGGUUCUGUAAGGCAGAAGUUCUGAAAUUUGACAAUAAAUGGCGGGCAAGAACAGUUUCUUUUAUAAAUCCAAGUUUCUUCUACUGUUACAGAAGCAAUGAUUUAUUUCAGGAACCUGAGGUAAGUUUGAAGAGUACAGAUGUUGAUAGAAAGAAGUUACCUAUUGUAAAAUUGAAUGAAAACUGCAAAUACACAAAGGGAGAGGCUGUAUAUUUUUUAUUUGAAAUAUUUAAAUAUGAAUGGUGAAAAAGAAGAAAAAUGUGCAAAAAAUAAGCAUCAUUUUUAAGAGUAUCUAUUUUGCAUUUAACUGCAUCUUAAUAAGUACUCCAUCAUAUUUGAAAUUACAUGUUACAUACAUGGCAAUGCAAUGCUUCAAAAUGAUCCAAGAUUCACUUUGUGCGGGUGAUAUAUGUAUUUGCUCGCAUUCCACGUGUCAGUUCAAUUAAGUCUCAUAUACAUCAAGAUCCUCGAUGCAUAACGAGAAUUCUAGGAAAAAAGAAAUGAAACAGUCGAGAAGAACACUUUCAUAUUAAAAAAAAAAAAAAUUUUCUUUUAAAGUAUAUAAAUUUAUAGAAUAAUAAACUUGAUUAAGUUAUAUAAAAUAUUUCUGUAUCCAUAAAUGAACAUUUCAAGUAACAACAUCCUGAUAAUUACAAUUAAUAAAAAGAAUCCAUUAAAAAUAUAAUAAAUUGUCGGAUCUCUUAAAGAUUUAAAGGUUUAGAUCAAAUUGUAUGAAACAUCCUGUGUCCACGAUAUUUAACUUUCAGUAACAAAAUCGGGCAAUUACAAUCGAUAAAAGAAUUCAUUAAAAAAAUUCAAUGAGUUGUCACAGUUCUUAAAAGCCGUUCAUUACUUGGCCAUAACGUGAAAUAUUUCGAGGACAUCCAGUUCAUUAAAAACGAGUUCUCGAUUCGUGAUAUUAAUUCUUCGCGAUGAUAAUUGAAGUAAGAAAGAAAACGACGAUUCACUUGGAGCAACUUAAUGCAAUGUGUUCAUUAAUGAGAAUCCAUACAUCACGCAUUAUGCAAGAUAUAUGAGUGUUGGCCACAGGCAUCGUUAAUUAACAGUUGAAUCAAAAUGAUCAUUCGAUGUGUAAUAGCAUCACAAUUAUUCACGUCGAUCGACACACUGCUGAUCACGUUAUACCCAUUGUCACUGCAUUUGACAGACGCGUCAAUCAAUUUAUAACACAGGCACGGAAGCUAUACGUCCCGUGCAUCCUGAAACAUGGCGAUCAACGGAAGCCCUCGAAAGUGAAAAAUCCCUUGAAAAAUAGAACGGCUGCCAGGAUGAUCCGUUGUAUAUUGGAGAUAGUUUGGCGAAAAUUGAAAUUUUUCAUCGCGCCGCUUGAACCAUUGUGCAGGGCAGCAAAGCAGAGUAAAUUUUAAGGAA